rnacentral:rRNA from 1 species
CAGUAGCCGCGGUAAUACGUAGGUGGCAAGCGUUGUCCGGAAUUAUUGGGCGUAAAGGGCUCGCAGGCGGUUUCUUAAGUCUGAUGUGAAAGCCCCCGGCUCAACCGGGGAGGGUCAUUGGAAACUGGGAAACUUGAGUGCAGAAGAGGAGAGUGGAAUUCCACGUGUAGCGGUGAAAUGCGUAGAGAUGUGGAGGAACACCAGUGGCGAAGGCGACUCUUUGGUCUGUAACUGACGCUGAGGAGCGAAAGCGUGGGGAGCGAACAGGAUUAGAUACCCCCGUAGUCCCUGUCUCUUAUAA